rnacentral:lncRNA from 1 species
AGGACCAGACUGCAGAUAAAUUUGUCUGACUACACUGGUCUGAUUGGAAAAGGAACUGAAAUCUGGAUGGAGUCUUAAGCUCCUGUGUUCUUUCCACCAAAACCUACUAAUGGCAGGACCUUGGAGAAGAAGCAUGACUUUGACAAUAUGAGAGGAAUCUGAAGCAGCUUUCCAUUCCAACUUAAAUAAUGAUAUAAAUAAACGGAGGAAUAUUCAGAGCUGAUGGCCAGACCCUGGCAAUACACCACAAAUGAUGAAACUAACAAAGGAGUGCAUAUGCCAAACAGUACUGUUCAUCUGAUGGAUAAUUCUUAUUUUAAUUCUGCUGAAAAGCUAAAAUGGAUAUUUUAA